rnacentral:rRNA from 1 species
UUUUAUAAAUAAGGAUGAGUGGAAAAAAAUAAAAAGUAUGGCGGUCUUUAAUCUCGUCAGAGGGACAUGUAUUUUAUAAACGAAUUUGCACGAGAAUCUAUCCUAAUUAAGAAUGUGAUUCAUUUUGUACACCGCUGUCUGAAAGAAAUUACAGAGGUAUUCUCUUUCCUCUCUUAAAGAAAUAAGACAAGUUAAGGUGCAGAUAAUAGUUAGGUUAAUAUGUGUUCCAAUAGUAAUUAUAGUUCAAAAACUGAAAGAUUUUGAGAAAGAGAAUUUGAUAGUAAAAUUGGAAACUCUACUGAUUUGAAGAUGGGCUAUAAAAGGCGU